GGGUGGUGUUAGCCUGAGCUGGGGUGGAGUUGAGUGAGGCGGUAUUAAAAGAUUGGAGGAGCCUGUGACAUCACUCGGAGGGCUUGUGACAUCACUAGCUGGUAGGAGGUAACAAGUAUGAGGUUACUUUUCUGGCAGGAGAAGAGGCAUGAUGGGAAGAAGAAGCUUGUCCUUUGUUGGGAGAAGUCAUAUUUUAACAUGGAGGCUGCUAUUUCUUGUGGCGGCCAUCUUAAGUUCAUCUUAACUGUCAGUGUCACAAGAUUAAGAAAUUCCUGAAGAGGUGAUUGGAGAAUGGGGUUGUUAUACUGUGAAGCCCAAUUGGAGGAGCAGCAUCCACACAAUGGCCCACAAAAUCCAGUUCUACUUGGACAGUGAGAUACCUGACUCAGACGGAAACCUGACAGAGACUCUCGGGGAAACCCCAAACUGAAAAUCCCUUUGUGUCAACCAAGCGCCCCAAUGACUUUUGAGACUCCACCAAGG
rnacentral:lncRNA from 1 species